rnacentral:lncRNA from 1 species
AAGAAACUCAGACGGAUUCCAUUUCUAGGUAUGUUUUAUUUAUUUUUUAACUGACAUUUUUUUCUUAUUUUUAUCUUUGUUAAAAAUGUGUUGCUAGGAAUUUAUGGAUUUUGUAAGUUUAUAGAAUUAUUUGAUAAUAAAAAACAAAUUUUGAUGGCCUUAUCAUUGUUACUAGCUUUCUUUGUUAAAGGCUUUACUUCAAGAUCACUAGUCAGAGCAAGUAAGAUUUUUCCCCAAAUCUCUACAACAAAGGUAUUCCAAAGUUUCUUAAGUUAGUUCAACUAUCUCAUUAUUAACAUCAGGGACUGAUAAAACCCACACUUGGCCAGAAAUGUAUUUGAUUAAGUAUUCAGAAUCUUCUCUUGUAGCCCUGCUUUAGACAAAAGAGAACCAGUGAAGACACUUUUAAAAAAGUGUCAUCUAGCUCAACCCUUAAUCCUAGCACUUGGGGAGGCUGAGGCAGGAGCAUCACUUGAGUCCAGGAGUUGAAGACCAGCAUGGACAACAUCAAGACUCCAUCUCUACCAAAAAAAAAAAAAAUUUCUUAAUUAUCCAGGCAUAACUGUAUGCUCCUCUAUUUCUAGCUGCUGGGGAGGCUGAGUCAGAAGGAUCACUUGAGCUCCCAGGAGCUCAAGGUUAUAGUGAGCUAUGGUUGUGCCACUGCACUCCUCACUGGAUACAGUGAGACCCUGUGUCUU